rnacentral:tRNA from 1 species
GGGCCUGUGGGCUAGCCUGGUAUGCUACCAGAUUCGGGUUUUUAAAUAAAAGAAAAAUCUGGCGACCUGAGUUCAAAUCUCAGCAGGCCCAC